rnacentral:tRNA from 1 species
GGCCGCUCUGGGCCAGCAGGUGGCAGUCGAGUUUGCUGAGCUCGGCGUCGGUGAGAACCACGGCGAUGGUGGUGUUCUCGACGCCGAGUCGCAC